GGACUACCCGGGUUUCUAAUCCUGUUUGAUCCCCGCACUUUCGAGCCUCAGCGUCAGUUACAGUUUCGUUAGCUGCCUUCGCAAUCGGUGUUCUAUGACAUCUCUAUGUAUUUCACCACUACAUGUCAUAUUCCGCCAACGGCAACUGUACUCAAGUCCUGCAGUAUCAAUGGCAAUUUCUCGGUUAAGCCGAGAGAUUUCACCACUGACUUACAGGACCGCCUACGCUCCCUUUAAACCCAAUGAAUCCGGAUAACGCUUGCAUCCUUCGUCUUACCGCGGCGGCUGGCAC
rnacentral:rRNA from 2 species